UUAAGCAGCUUCACCCGGCCCGCAGGCCGGAUGCUCAUCGCCACCCUUAGAAGCAGGAAUUGUAACCAAGCCCAUUUCCAGAGAGAGAAACAGAGGUCCAAAGAGAUCAAGGCAUUCACCUAAAGUCACACAGCAGGUCAUGCUGGUGGCAGAAUCCACACCCAGGGCUGGAAGGCUGCAAAAAUAACUAUUAUCUACUCACUCCUGCCUGCUUCUAAGCAUGCGUCCGGAUUAACCCUUUCAUCCUCACCUCGACACUUUGAAGGAGGCUCUGCUGAAACGAGAUAUUGUAGGAAGGUGGUGCAGUGCAAUGGUUCAGCGCUUGGACUCCAAUGUUCACGGCCUAGGUUCACAUCCUGGCCCCCUUCUGGCUGCGCAGCCGAUGCAGCAAGGAAAGUUCUACUUUGCCCAAGAGCCGGGACCAGAGCGCCUGGAAGUGAGGAAAGAGGGCGUGCUGAGAAGCCUGGAUUCCAUUGUGCUGGAGAGCCCCUUGACAGUGGGACGCCAUCAUAAAUGAUAGCCAUUGGUAAUGUUAGGAUUUGGUGAAACCAGAGCAGGUUUGGAGCCAGUUCCCCAAGAGAAGGUCAACACCCACUGCUGGCCUGUGAGAUUGUUUUAUGUGGCCUAGGGAUGGCAGAUUCGUUUAAAUGUGCAUCUUAAAAAUACACAUACCCCGUUCAUGAA